GAAAGCAGGGGAUCGCAAGACCUUGCGCUGAUUGAGCGGCCGAUAUCAGAUUAGCUAGUUGGUGAGGUAAAGGCUCACCAAGGCGACGAUCUGUAGCGGGUCUGAGAGGAUGAUCCGCCACACUGGAACUGAGACACGGUCCAGACUCCUACGGGAGGCAGCAGUGGGGAAUUUUGGACAAUGGGCGCANNNNCAAUCCAGCCAUGCCGCGUGAGUGAAGAAGGCCUUCGGGUCGUAAAGCUCUUUCAGCCGGGAAGAAAACGCAUGGGUUAAUACCCUGUGUGGAUGACGGUACCGGAAUAAGAAGCACCGGCUAACUACGUGCCAGCAGCCGCGGUAAUACGUAGGGUGCGAGCGUUAAUCGGAAUUACUGGGCGUAAAGCGUGCGCAGGCGGUUUGUUAAGAUAGGCGUGAAAUCCCCGGGCUCAACCUGGGAACUGCGUUUAUGACUGGCAAGCUAGAGUAUGGCAGAGGGGGGUGGAAUUCCACGUGUAGCAGUGAAAUGCGUAGAGAUGUGGAGGAACACCGAUGGCGAAGGCAGCCCCCUGGGCCAAUACUGACGCUCAUGCACGAAAGCGUGGGUAGCAAACAGGAUUAGAUACCCUGGUAGUCCACGCCCUAAACGAUGUCAACUAGGUGUUGGGAGGGUAAAACCUUUUAGUACCGGANNUAACGCGUGAAGUUGACCGCCUGGGGAGUACGGCCGCAAGGUUAAAACUCAAAGGAAUUGACGGGGAACCCCACAAGCGGUGGAUGAUGUGGAUUAAUUCGAUGCAACGCGAAAAACCUUACCUACCCUUGACAUGUCCGGAAGCCCUUAGAGAUUUGGGUGUGCUCGAAAGAGAGCCGGAACACAGGUGCUGCAUGGCUGUCGUCAGCUCGUGUCGUGAGAUGUUGGGUUAAGUCCCGCAACGAGCGCAACCCUUGUCGUUAAUUGCCAUCAUUUAGUUGGGCACUUUAACGAGACUGCCGGUGACAAACCGGAGGAAGGUGGGGAUGACGUCAAGUCCUCAUGGCCCUUAUGGGUAGGGCUUCACACGUCAUACAAUGGUCGGUACAAAGGGUCGCCAACCCGCGUGGGGNAGCCAAUCCCAGAA
rnacentral:rRNA from 1 species